UACCCGCUCCCCGAGUGGUGGGGACGGUUAUGGGGCCUAAAGCAUCCGUCGCCGGCUGGGUAAGUCCCCCGUUAAAUCUAGCGAUUUAAUCGCUGGACUGCGGGGGAUACUGCCCAGCUAGGGGGCGGGAGAGGCCGGCGGUAUUCCCGGGGUAGGGGUGAAAUCCUAUAAUCCCGGGAGGACCACCAGUGGCGAAGGCUGCCGGCUGGAACGCGCCCGACGGUGAGGGAUGAAAGCUGGGGGAGCGAACCGG
rnacentral:rRNA from 1 species